rnacentral:rRNA from 1 species
UGAAGUUUUCGGAUGGAUUUCUGGUUGACUGAGUGGCGGACGGGUGAGUAACGCGUGGAUAACCUGCCUCACACUGGGGGAUAACAGUUAGAAAUGACUGCUAAUACCGCAUAAGACCACAGCACCGCAUGGUGCGGGGGUAAAAACUCCGGUGGUAUGAGAUGGACCCGCGUCUGAUUAGCUAGUUGGUAAGGUAACGGCUUACCAAGGCGACGAUCAGUAGCCGGUCUGAGAGGAUGAACGGCCACAUUGGGACUGAGAUACGGCCCAGACUCC